rnacentral:lncRNA from 1 species
UUUUGAAAUCCAUUAAAAUAAUUCGUAAGCAAAUGAUAAAUUCUUGACUUAACUAAUUACUAUUUUUAUUAAGGCGCAACAAAUAAUAACAACUAUUCUUCCAACAUAAAAUAAACAACUUUACAUGCUAAAAAAAAUAUAUCUACAAACAAUAAGUUUAAACAAGACAUGGGUAUUGUUUUUCAAGUAAAGAUCUAAACUUUAU